rnacentral:rRNA from 1 species
CACGUAGAUUUUACUGUGCCGAAGGAAAAAAUAGAAAAUGCGGCUCCUCUCGUCGAUCCCUGCUCUCAUACGCAAACGCAAGUCUUCUCUCUUCUCUCCCCCCGCGGCUCGCCGCCGCCGCCAUCACCACUCACGACGGCCGAUUCCGGCGAGCACCGGGGGCGGGUGGCAGAUCAACGAUCUCCCCACGCCCCGCUCCUUCCUCCCAUCCCUCCAGAUCCAACGGCGCCGAAGCCGAGGCCGAGGGUGGAGGCGACACCUCGUCCUCAUCCUCCUCGUCCUCCGCCGCCGUCUCCUCCUCCUCUAGUGCCCCUCCAGCGGCCGCAACAGCAGCCUCGCCGGCGGCGAUGAGGACGAGGACGGCGUCGACGACGGGGGCGGCGGGGAGUACGAACUCGUUCGGCGUCGUGCCCGUCAGGCCCGCCGCCGGGUACGGGGACCAGGAGGAAGAGGAGGCGAGAGAUUUGUUCGACUCCGACAACGAGGAGUACGUCAAGACCCUCCGCGUAGCAACUACCUAAUUCCAGCGCGGGAUGCGACAACGCAUUUGGCCGGAGGAGAACGUGGCAGCGGCAUCUCCUGGCGAUGGCGGUGGGCAGGCAAUGCUUCAAGGCGACGGGCUGAGGCGGCGGUGCAGGGAUCCGCUCGAUCUGCUGUUGCUGCUGAGGGCGGACGGGGGAGCCGGGUCGAGGUGGCAGGUUCAUCCAUGAUGCCAACGGAGCGAGACCAACGGGGAAAGGAACAGGGCGUGGCCCCACAUGGUGGCUUGCCGUCUGCUUCACUGUUUCAUACCUUUCUCUGUACAAUUUCUUCAGCUUCAGAAACUAUUUUAUUUUUAGAAGGGAUUUGAGAUGGUGCCCGACAUUAUAGUAAGUUCAAGACUGUUGCUGAAUGAGCGGUGUGUGCAACCAGACCUCCGUCCACUUGUUUCUAUGUUUGAAUAUUCACCGGUUCUUGAGAAUCUGACGCUUCAAUUGCGCAAGGGUUAGUUUACUAUGCCGAUCCGAGCCAGCAUCAGGCGCGCCAAGCUCGCCGUCCACAUGCCUCCUCUUCGUCUGCAGCCGCAGUGCCAAAUCGCUCCCCAUCCGAGCAGAUGACUGUGCGUGAAGCACUGAGUUGCGCCCUUGAUGAGAUGUCUGGCAAUGCUUCUGUUUUCUUAAUGGGAGAAGAGGUACCACGAUACCACCUGGAAGACUAAGUAGUAAUAUAUUUUUCUUUCCUUUAUUUGUGCCUCUAAAUACUUGUUAUUUCUCUGACAGGGUGGUUUGAAUAAAAACUACUUCUCAGUUUCCAUGUUUUUCGAUAUUUUGGUGCCUGUUUUUUAUAUUCAGUUUUGCAGAUUUUAAUUAUGGAUCUAAGGAUUCAAAUUUGUUCCAAGCUUUUUUCUUGCAGUAAAACUCUUACUAGAGACAACUGGAAAUAGGAAACCAAGUGAACUACCAGUUUUGUCUUGAACAAUCACUACUCUGGUUUUAUUAUGGCAUACCUAAAUUUAUUCUUAGAGAAAGCUUGACAUGCAUAUUGGAUUUGCUUAUGUAUUGUUUCAGUAACAUGAUUAUAUAGUAAUCUGUUUAUAACUAUGUAAGAGCCAAUAGGAGACAGAACAUUGUAGCUUUAUACUACUAUUACAGUUAUACAUGAUUCUAUAUAGCUAAAAAUAUGUCCUGUUGUAUUCAAACGACAGAUCCUUCUAAUACAACAGCUAUACAUUGGCAGAGAGAUAAUAUAUACUGGUUUCAGUCAGAUUUUGUUCUUCAUGUCCAUAUAUAAGUUCUCUUAUUAUCUCUUUGUGUACAUCUUCAAAUAGCAACUUAAUUGGUGUGGAAUUUAUGUUCCUGGUUUAUGUAGCUACAUAAAUAUCAGGAACUAUGUUGCAGUGUUUAUUCCUUAGCACUUUUGAUUUACAAAUAAGUCUACUAUUGUAUAAUCCUUGUAACUGAAGUUGGUUGUUCAAGCAAACACAAUGUGCACUGACAGAAGAUGGCAGGAACAAUGGUACACAUUCAAGUAUGUAUCUGCCAAAGUUGAUUAUGUUUAACUCUAGGCAUUGCUAUGUAAUGGUGUACUAUUCUUUGAAGAAUUUGUAGGAGGUACUAGAAAAGUAUGACUUGAUGAGGGAUGCCUUGAUUUCAAAAGACAUCCUGAAAGAAUUUAGUUUAGUAAAAUAUUGUAUAGCCUUCUCGUAAAAGUUUGAUACACUUUUCAAGAAAACAAACUUUGGUUAAUCAUUAAGAUAUAACUUUUCUCAUAUUUGAACAACAAGGUUAUUUGAGUUCUGCUAAAAAAGGUUAUUUUUUGUAACUUUUGCGAACUUUGUGGAAAGAAGCUGCAAAUAACUGAUUUCGCUGUCAAGUCUACAAUUCAAUGUUGAUCUAGAGGGUGGAAUUUUUAAACUUCAUUGAUGCUUUCUUGUCCGUUUUGAUCUAAUAUCUGUCUGAUGUGGUUUGUAUAAAGCUUAUGGUGGUAUAAUUAGUUUUGCUUUUUUUAGGAUAUAAUAAGGUUGUAGAUAGACGGAGACUGAAUUAGUUCACAUUACUUUGAUGUCUAUCGAGCCAAUGGGACAACAAAGGUAGUUCCUUCGCACAAUUUGAAGAAUGUUAUUUCAUAUUGCAUGAUAUAUCUGACUCAUUUCAGUGGGCCUUCAGUUAAUUUGAGGCAUCCUUUCCUAGGAUCUUACCUUGAUAUUCCUCUAUUUUCUCCUAUUCGUCCCAUGCUUUUUUAAGAACUGAAAUAAUUAUAACCAGUGUUACAAAUGUUUGCUGAGGAAAAGUCCUUGCAAAAAAGAAGAACCGGAAGAAGGCUUUCUAUCUUCACCAGUAUUUCCUUUUGUUUCUAAUUGUUGGCUCUUUCCUAUGGCCUAAGAGUAAGGAUUAAUGCUUUUGAUAUCUGAUUUGAGAAAACAGCAUCAUAGAACGUAAGUAGAAGGUAGACUGUAGCAUUGAUCAUUGCUAUUUUGUACAUAGACAGUUCAACGAACUGCUCUGAUAGGGGAUGUUGAGGGUGACGACGCCGACGAGCAAGUCGGCGUCUGUAAAGCUUUGCCGGAGCCAUUCCAGCUCUUUCAAAGCCACAAGGCAAGGAAGCCGAGGAACCAAGACGCCAACGGUGCGGAGCCGUUUGCCAUCGAGAGGACUAGGGCUGCCAUCAGGGACCUCUAAACCAAGCUCAACAUCUCCCUCCAUCAACAUCGUGUCCCGGAGGGUCGUCGCCGUUCGUGACGGCGAGCUACUGCCGCCGCAUCGUCAGACGGCGAGCUACUGCCGCCGCAUCGUCAGCCGCACGGUUAGAGGGAGGCAUCAAGGGCCUGCCACCGCUGUCGGGGCCGACAUGCGUGCAAUUUCUAUUAAUGCAUCUUAUGUUGCCAAACAGCAACAUGCUCCUGUCGAUCCUAUAUCAUUGUGGGCGUGGCAUACCAGUUUCUUCCUCAGAUGAUGUUCCAAUAUAGUAAGUUCCAUCAAGAAUUGCAUGUACAUGUGCCGCUAUCUUGAUCCAAAAAGGAAAGUAAAAAGGGUGUUCAUCUACCUGGCACCGCCCAGAUGCCCCUUAAGCGGCGCGCCCGUGGCGCGCCCCAACUACUAGUUCUUACUAAACAUGGCUAGAUUGGGGGCAAUGGAAUUAACUUCUUUUCUAACUUUAUCAAUCAAGUUUUCCUUGUUUUUUGACCGAAUACAUUUUUUUCUUCUUGUGAACCAACCAAUGGUUUGAUGGCUAGGAGGACAGUGGUAUCAGCAGCGCACGAGAGUUCGAGUCAUGGACUUGACAUUGGUGCUCGCAUUUCCCUGAAUUUAUUUCAUGUCUUUCGGCGAUGUGCGUUCAGUGGGAGGAGACGUUCCAGUCGACAACGAAGGUGUCGGUGUCAAUUUUGUCAAUCACAAGAUGAUACGCCGGCUCAGUCUCUUGGCGGUGCUCAUAAGGAUAGGGUGUGCGUGUGCGUGUUUAUGUGGGUGAGUGUAUGCUUGUGUAUGUGAGCGAUUUUAAUUGUAACGUGUUCAAAAAAAUAUGGAUUUUUUCAUUCAUAACAUGCCUAUGAAGCUAACCCAAAAUCUGAC